AUAAAAAUAAAUAAAUAAAUGUAGGCAUUCUAGAAAACAGUCUGGCAACUCCUCAAAAAGUUAAACAAGAGUUACCAUAUGACCCAGCACUUCUGCUCCUAGGUAUACAUCUAAGGGAAAUUAAAACAUAUAUGUUCAUAUAAAUACUCAAAAAUAUUCAUAGCAGUAUUAUAUGUAAUAGCCAAAAGGUGAAAACAACCCAAACAUCAAUCAAUAGAUGAAUGAAUAAGCAAAAUAUGGUAUAUUCAUACAACAGGAUUUUUUUUUUUCUUUUUUCUUUUCUUUGAGAUGGAGUCUCGCUCUGUC
rnacentral:lncRNA from 1 species